GCCCUGUUUCCCGGCCAGGCUGAGGAGAUGACGCCGCUGCCUCCUGCUCCCGGCCCGACACCCCCCUGCAGUACCGCAGGGGAGCUCUCCUGGGAAAAGUCGGGUGGAGUUUCGGAGUAUAUUGAAGGGGCAAUGGCAUUGGAGAUAAGGCUUUGAGCUGGGCCGCCUUCUUAGAGCCACACCCUGAUACCAAAGACAGGCUGAAGAUAAACUGAGGGAGCACCCAAGAGGGCAGCUUGACUGGAAAGGCCGGAUAGGAACUCUGGUAAGGUUGCCCUUUAUGGGGGGAGGGAUUGUCUGCUGUCCUCGGUUGGCUAAAUAUUCCAGGGGUGUGUGGUGGCUUUCUUUCACUGGUGCUGGUUGAAGGGGUGGUUUGUCGAUGUUUAUCACAGUGAACUGUGUAGUAGGUGAGCUCUCUUGCAGGUGUAUAUUCAAGGAGCAAUAGGAUUAGAGGCAAGGCUCUGAGCUGGGCCUCCUUAGAUCCUCCAGCCUUCUACCAAACCCAGACAAAGGGGAAAUGGCUGGAGCAGCCAACAGCCUCCAACAAAGCAUGUUGCUCGGGAAUGGUCUGAUGGGAGCUCAGGUAAGUUGGGACUUUGGGGGGAGGCAGAGGUGUGUACCUGCUUGGUAUGUUAAGUAUCCAAGGGUCUCUGAGAUGGUUUUCUUCUACUGGUGAUGAUCGCAGGGAUGGUUAGGCUGUGUGUUUCACUGAAUUGUGUGUAACAGGUGUGCUUUGUUGCAGCUGUAUAUUGAAGGGGCAGAGGCAUUGGAGGCAAGCCUUUGAGAUGGGCCUUGUUCUUAGAACUACAGCCUUAUACAAAAGACAGGCUGAGGAGAAACUGAGGGAGCAACCACGAGAUCAGCUUGCCUGGGAAAGGUAGGCUAGCAGCUCAGGUAAGUGUGGUGUGGAGGGGUUGUGUACUGAUAUACCCUUGGAUACUGACAGUACCUAUCUGUGAUGGUUUUCUUUCACUGGUGAUGGUUGCAGGGAUUAUUUGGUCAUGUGUUUAUCACUGUGAAUAGUAUGUAAUUGGUGUGCUUUGCUACAGGUGUAUAUUCAAGAGGCAGUAGCAUUGGAGAUUUGGAGAUAAGGCUUUGAGCUGGGCCUCCUUUUUAGAGCAACUAGCCUUAUGCUAAAAGCAGGUGAGGGGAAACUGAGGAAGCAUCCAAGAGGGCAGCUUCACUGGAAAGCCCGGAUAGGGACUCUGGUAAGUGUGCCUUUCAUGGGCGGGCCGGGGGCGGGGAGGGUUGUUUGCUGUCCUCGGUGGGCUAAGUGUCCAAGGGUAUGUUUGGUGAUUUUUUUUUCCACUGGUGCUGGUAGAAGGGACAGUUGGGCUGUGUGUUUAUGACUGUGAACUGUUUAGUAGGUGUGUUCUCUUUCAGAUUUAUAGCCAAGGGGCGAUUGGAUUAGAGACAAGGCUUUGAGAUGGGCCUCCUUUUUAAGAUUCUCCAGCCUUAUACCUAAGGUAGACAGGGGAAACGGAGGGAGCAGCUAACAACCUCCAACAAAGCACAUUGCUCGGGAAUGGUCUGAUGGGAGCUCAGCUAUACAUUGAAGAGGCUAUAGAACAAAACACCUUGCCUAGGAAAGGUUGAGAAGCUGCCGCCUCCUGCUACCUGCCCUGAGUGCAUGACCGCUGUCUUCAUGGCAGAGCUCAGGAGUACCAUGGGAGAGCCCACAGGGGAGCUUGCCUGGGGAAGAUCGGAUAGAGUUUAGGUACAUAUUGAAGGGGCAAUGGCAUUGGAGGCAAGCCUUUGAGAUGGGUCUCGUUCUUAGGACUACAGCCUUAUACGAAAGAGGCGCCAAGGAGAAACUGAGGGAGCAACCACGAGAGCAGCUUGCCUGAGAGAAAGGUAGGAUAGCAGCUCAAGUGUGGCGUGGAGGGGUUGUGUACUGUGAUAGGUACUGUCAGUAUCCAAGGGUAUCUGAUUUUCUUUCACUGGUGAUGGUUGCAGGGACUAUUUGGUCAUGUGUUUAUCAUGGUGAAUAGUAUGUAAUGGGUAUGCUUUGUUACAGGUGUAUAUUCAAGAGGCAAUAGCAUUGGAGAUAAGGCUUUGAGCCGGGUCUCCUUUUUAGAGUAACUAGCCUUAUGCUAAAAGCAGGUGAGGGGAAACUGAGGGAGCAGCCAAGAGGGCAGCGUCACUGGAA